ACGUGGUCCUCCUCGUGAUAUGUACCAAUAGAAAGCAGCCACAUAUUAAAACAAAAGUUGAGUUAGCAACUUCACCUGCUGCAAUAGAGCCUUUUAAAAACAAAUACUAAAAUACACUUUCACUUCUAAUUCUACUCGGCCACUUCACCGAAAAUUCUAAAACCCAAAAAUUUCCAAACCACCCAGCUCUCUUCUCUCUCCCUCUCUGCAUCAUUCAAGAAAUUUUUCUUUGCAUGAACAAAUUCUAUGAGAUUUUGAACUAACUUUGUUCUUGGGUCUAACUUGUUUUGGCUUGUUUCCCUCUUUUCCCCUAUGACUGAAGUGGUUGUCGGAAUCCAAUAUUGCAACUAAUCAUGACUGAUCAAGGAGCAUUAAAAUUGGACCAAUGAGGAUAUACUAAAUGAAAAUGUUGGAGAUGGGACAUUUGUUGCUGGUGUUAUUAUUGGUAAAGAUGCAGAAUGUCUUGGUUUGUUGCUUUGUCUGAGAGAGUAUGUUAUUCGGGUUCAAGCUUGCACGUUUUUGGGCUACUAUUUACUAUGCAAUGGAGUAGAGAUGUUUGUAUCAGAUAUGUGAACUGUCAAGAUGCUGAAUCAGUGAAUGCAUUGACAAAUGGAAAAAACUACUUCGUUGAGGCAGGAUUAAUUUUGGUUGAUAUUAGGUGACUCAUGUUAAACUUUGAAUCAAUUUCCUUUCAUGUAGUGUAAAAAAACUUGUAACAGCUAGUGAGUUGUAAAAUUUUCUUAGGAAAAGGAAGAGCCUUUGGUAGGGAAUUAGAGGAACGUUCUUUCUUUUUGUUAGCCAUUGUACUGAAAGAUAUUUAUCAAUAAAUCAAGUCUUUUGUUUUACAAUGGUU